rnacentral:lncRNA from 1 species
CUUGAGAAGGAGCUCUUGGAGGAAUUCUCUAAGGAGGUCUCUCAAGGGAGGCUGACUCUGGCUGGAACUCCCUCUGGGGAGACUCUGUCCCUCUGAAUCCCUUACUUGGACAAUCUUAUGGCUCAUCUUUCCAGUCUGUUGAUAGCUUUUUGCAGCCCAAUUCGAUCAUCCAAAAUAUUAGCCAUCCCUCCCAGAUUUGUGUCAUCUGCAAAUCUGAUGAUCAUGGCAGGCUUGAUGAAUAUAUCUUAGAGAAUAUGGCCCAGGAUAGUCAUGGAUGAUGUUCCUACUCGCAGGCCCGAAAGAGUUGUGAGUUCGAGUUGGAGGCUGAUGAAGAAUCUGCUGACUGGACCUGAGACCCUGUACUUGGUGAGACUGUUCUUAAAUCUCUCCCUUUUGGACCGACACAUGGUGAGUGAAAAGAACUGACUCCUUUCUUGGAUUUUCUGAGGAGACUAGACUCAGGAGAGACCUACCCUCUUGAGAGAGGCUCCCUGCAUCCCCCAGGUCCUCCACUCAAAAGCCAAGGCCUCUCCUGCUAAGGACUAAACUCCCUGCCUGGGUUGAGCCAGGGAUCAGAGCAAAAUACUUAGAGCUUAGGCUAGAUAUCUUACUCUAUCCUCUCUCCAAUUUCCUACUUUAUCCUUUCUAUAUUUUGUAAAUAAAUUGUAAAUAAAAUCUCUUUGGAAUUUCA